GUGUACACAAGAUAGAGCCUUAAUCAAGUUUUUAUAAACUUUACUAUUAAAUCCACCUUCAAAAGUUAUUUCAAAAACUUUAUCCGUAUAAAUCCUUAUAAUGUAACCCACCUCUAACUUUUAUAUUAGCUGCACCUUUACUUGAAGUCUUUAAUUUUUUUUAUAACAGAAAGUUUUCUAAAGAAACUAACUGACAACAGCGAUAUACAAACUGAUUACAAAUAAAAGUAAUGUUACUCGUGGUUCAUCGUUUACAGGGCAGGUUCCUCUAAAUAGCUAUCUUGCCGCCAAAUCCGUUAAAUUUCAUUAUUAAUACUAUUCCAAAAUUUUAUUAUUAAAGUA
rnacentral:rRNA from 1 species